rnacentral:tRNA from 1 species
UCUAAUAUGGCAGAAAAGUGCAUUGGAUUUAAACCCCAAAUAUAAAGAUUAAUCUUUUUUUAGAA